rnacentral:rRNA from 1 species
GAUGAACGCUGGCGGCGUGCCUAAUACAUGCAAGUCGAGCGAACAGAUAAGGAGCUUGCUCCUUUGACGUUAGCGGCGGACGGGUGAGUAACACGUGGGUAACCUACCUAUAAGACUGGGAUAACUUCGGGAAACCGGAGCUAAUACCGGAUAACAUUUGGAACCGCAUGGUUCUAAAGUGAAAGAUGGUUUUGCUAUCACUUAUAGAUGGACCCGCGACGUAUUAGCUAGUUGGUAAGGUAACGGCUUACCAAGGCGACGAUACGUAGCCGGCCUGAGAGGGUGGUCGGCCACACUGGAACUGAGACACGGUCCAGACUCCUACGGGAGGCAGCAGUAGGGAAUCUUCCGCAAUGGGCGAAAGCCUGACGGAGCAACGCCGCGUGAGUGAUGAAGGGUUUCGGCUCGUAAAACUCUGUUAUUAGGGAAGAACAAAUGUGUAAGUAACUGUGCACGUCUUGACGGUACCUAAUCAGAAAGCCACGGCUAACUACGUGCCAGCAGCCGCGGUAA